GUGGGAGGGAGCAGGCCUUUGUCCCCAGCGUCCUGGGCCGCUCCUGAGGCUGUGACCCUGCCGUGCUCUGGCCAACCACAUGGCCUGGGCAGCAGCGGUUCUGUGCCAGGUGAAAGUGCCCGUGCCCGAAUCACGUGAGAAACUCGCCAGCGGUGGCUCAGUGGCCGCAGCCUGUUCUGUUGGCUUCCUGUCGAGGCCUCGUGGCCCCAGUGUGACCUCACCUGGUAGAAGGCCCCACGCGCGUCACUCCCAGCCACCAGGAUGGAGGUGAAGGGCGGGACCCGGAGCGCAGAUGCACCCACUGGGCACUGGGCACGCGGACAGGGGCCCAGGAACGUGGUGUCGGAUGCAAGGAGGACUGCACAGGUGGCCACCUAGCCAGCCACCCCAAACUCUGUCAUAACCCAGCGUGAUGCCCACGCCCUCAAUCCCAGCACUUGGGAGGCUGAGGAAGGAGGAUCUCAAGUUCACACCCAGGCUGAACAAUUUAACAAGCAAUUUAAGACCCUGUCUAAAAAAGAAUUCAAGUGCUAGGUAGUGUAGCUCAGGGUCCAGGCGGGCCCUUCGGUCCUCCAGACCUUCAAAAACAACAAACACCAAAACACUUUCUUGGGGGUUCCACUUGAGCGUCUGUGGUCCCCACUCCUGCUAGUUCUGACUGGCAGUGUGGCCCGUUCGUUCUGGGUAGGCUGAUCCCGCGUCAGUCCUCCACACCUCAGCCUCUGUCCAGCAUCCCGCAGCCGCUGCCGUGAUCAGAUGGGGCAGAGCUCUUUGGUCCAACAUGCCACCACCUGACUCCUCGCCGGCCCCGGCAGCUUCCGUGUGUGGACGCUGUCCUGUCCCACCACUCCGCUGAGCCGAGGAGAGAGCGCUCCAGCCGUCACUGCGUGUAGAGUUUGGCCCCGACUGCAUCGUGGUGAAAUGUCUCCGUUUAAAAAUACUAAGCGAGCUGGACAUGCAAGCACAUGCUUGCCAUGCGAACUACCUCGGAGGCUGAGGCAGAAGAGUUCAACCCCAGCGGCGUGACUGAGUGAGACACUGUCUCAAAAACAGUUUUUUAAAGGGCCGGGGAUGUACGUCAGUGGUGAGCAUGGGGAUCUGGACGGGACGCUCUGGUACUGGAAAAGCUCUGCUCCCAAGGCAACGCUGUGAGUCACUUCCAUCAGCAAACAGACGCUCUGUGUUCAUCUGUGAAGCCAUGUGGACACAUUGCAGUGGUUGCCCGGCAAUAUUCUGUAAGAACUCUCAUUUUGGAUGCUAAAAGAGAAAGCCACACUCUGUCUCAGGGCCCCUGUGUAAGACACAGGCUUGCUUGGUGUGACGGUGCAUGCCCAUGAUCCCAGCACUCAGGAGGCCGAGGCAGGAGGAUCGCUGUAAGUUCCAG
rnacentral:lncRNA from 1 species